GGGCAAUCUGCCUUAAAGACCGGGAUAACCUCUCGAAAGGGGGGACUAAUACCGGAUAAGACCACGAAUACUACGGUAUUUGAGGCCAAAUGGUGCUUUUACGGGUGCCGCUUUGAGAUGAGCCCGCGGUGCAUUAGCUUGAUGGUAGGGUAACGGCCUACCAUGGCUCCGAUGCAUAGCUGGUCUGAGAGGACGAUCAGCCACACUGGAACUGAGACACGGUCCAG
rnacentral:rRNA from 1 species